rnacentral:rRNA from 1 species
GAUGAACGCUGGCGGCGUGCCUAAUACAUGCAAGUCGAGCGAACGGACGAGAAGCUUGCUUUUCUGAUGUUAGCGGCGGACGUGUGAGUAACACGUGGAUAACCUACCUAUAAGACUGGGAUAACUUCGGGAAACCGGAGCUAAUACCGGAUAAUAUUUUGAACCGCAUGGUUCAAUAGUGAAAGACGGUCUUGCUGUCACUUAUAGAUGGAUCCGCGCUGCAUUAGCUAGUUGGUAAGGUAACGGCUUACCAAGGCAACGAUGCAUAGCCGACCUGAGAGGGUGAUCGCCCACACUGGAACUGAGCCACGGUCCAGACUCCUACGGGAGGCAGCAGUAGGGAAUCUGCCGCAAUGGGCGAAAGCCUGACGGAGCAACGCCGCGUGAGUGAUGAAGGUCUUCGGAUCGUAAAACUCUGUUAUUAGGGAAGAACAUAUGUGUAAGUAACUGUGCACAUCUUGACGGUACCUAAUCAGAAAGCCACGGCUAACUACGUG